rnacentral:lncRNA from 1 species
GCGAGGAUCAAUAAAACAACUGACAAAUAAUAGAGAGGAUGUGAGGAAAGUGAAAUCUUUAUUAACCAGUUUGGGCUUAGAAACUUGUGCAGCUACUUUGAAAACUGUUUGGAGAAUUCUUAAAAAGGUAAAAAAGAUAAUUCAGAGGGUGGUCUUAUCUGGUAUCAAAGGGAGGGGGAGCGCUUGAUCCUGUGAAGACUUGGUGCCCCAGCAGUAGGGGAAUGCUAGGGAAGUGGAGUGGGAGUGGUUAGAUGUGUGUGGGAGCACCCUCAUGGAAGCAGGGGGAAGGGUGGAAUUGGACAUUUUCAGAGAGGAAACCAAGAAGGGGGUAUAACAUUUGAAAUGCAAAUAAACAAAAUAACCAAUAAAAAUAAAAUAAUUCUACCAUGUGACCCAGCUAUAACACUCUGUGAGAUAUUACCAAAGUAUUCAACAUCCAACUCUACAGAAAGAGGAGGUAGAGAAUCCGUGGAGGGGACUGAAGGCCAAUAGAGAAGGUAAGAAAGGGAGGAGAAACAUACAAACCUUAAAGAAUAAUAUUAUUUUAUAAUUACCUAAAUUAUAUAUAAUACUUAUUGGUUUAUAUCAGAUACAGAUAUUCUUAAUCAAGAAGAAAUUGAAAUGAUUUGUUAAAAUUUACUGACACUAAUCAUUUAGCUAGUGUUGCAGCAUAACCAUUUUCUGCCUUGGAUUUUGCAUGCCACAUUAAAUAAACAGAAAAUUCUCCAAAUUACUUCUUGAGUACCAAUGCUAGCUCCUCUUUACCACUAUUAAGUGACUGAAGACCAUGUUGGGUCAAUUCUAACACAAUUUCAUUGCAUCCUUUUUUCUAGGUCUUGAUCUUAGCUGCAUUUUUCAUACCUCGGCUUAUGUCCAGUUGGUUUUCUACUGUAGAAAGCUCUCAGCAGGAGCAUGUUGCUAAAGUAGCAGAAGGCAAGCUGCAUAAAGCACAAAUUUCCAGUGGAAAUGCUUUCUGAAAAUCGUCUUGGUUUCAGAGACUAGGAGCAUAAUUUUAAAAGUAAUGGUUGUGUCAAAGAUCAUUAUCUGUCUCUCAAUAUGUUUAUUGCUUCCUGUGUUAAUUUCAUAGACUCCAUAU